GGAGAUGGGGCUAUAGCUCAGUGGUAGAGUGUCUGCCUCGCAUGUGGAAGGUCCCAGGUUCAAUCCCUGGCAUUUCCA